UUUCCAAAUAAGGAUCACAAGGUUUGGUACUUUCCGACCCAUGUAUCGCAAAAGAUUUUGUGUCAACCUUCUGAUGACACAAUGAAAGAUAUAGUAGAAGAUUAUUUUGGAAUUUACAGAUACACUGGCCCCCUUCAUGCUUGUGAGGAGAUUUACAUGCCCUUCAACCAUAGGGAAAACCACUGGUUGUGCUUGAAUGUAAACAUGGAAAAAUGGGUUGCCUAUCUAUUCGACUCCAGCAGAUGUAUUGACAUCGAUGAGGAUCGAAAAAA